GGUCUUACAGGGAGGUGUGUUCAGGUGCAUUUCUGGCGUGCUGGUCUUACAAGGAGGUGUGUUCAGGUGCAUUCUGGGCGUGCUGGUCUUACAGAGAGGUGCGUUCAGGUGCAUUCUGGGCGUGCUGGUCGUACAGGGAGGUGUGUUCAGGUGCAUUCUGGGCGUGCUGGUCUUACGGGAGGUGUGUUCAGGUGCAUUCUGGGAGUAUUGCUAUCUUGAGGCAGCGGGAAGUGAUCGUGCUACUGACUAACAAAAACCUGGUGUAAAGUCAGUUAUUUUAACAGCGCAAUAGGGAAAUGUGUCUAAGAUUGUGCACAGUGCGCGCACACUAUGUCUGUUACACACACAGGGAAGCAAAGCAGCACACACAAAUGCAAAAGAUUAAAAAUAAAAAUAUUAC